GAAAUCAAUGGCGGCAAUGGCAGCAGCUGCCUUCUUUGUGGUAUUCAUUUUGGCUUCCUCUUCUUCUGGAGCAAUGGCUCAGGACAUCGCUCCUACACCGGCAAUGAUCACCGGAGCAGCCAUGGAUGUAUCCUCCUCGCCUCUAUCAGCUUUCCUGGCAUUCAUUUGCUCUUCACUCCUCCUCAUUCCUCUUCUCUCAUCAUUGUACUGAAUCGAAUUCGAAAUUGUGGUGGGAGAUCCACUUAUAAAUCAUCAUCAUCAAUUUGUGUACCUCUUUGUAUUAUUUUUGUUUCAUUUGAUGUUUCGUGUGGAUUGAUUCGGCGAUUGUAAGUAGUAGUAAUGUACCGAUUCUGCGAUCAGUGGCGGGUUCAGGGAGGCUUCCAUUGGUUAGGUUUGGUUCUUUUGGAUAUGAAUGGUUUCGAGAGUGUAUAAAUUUUGUGGUAUUUUGAGGGGUAUAAACAUCAUAUAAUUAUAUUCGAGGUUGGUGCAUAUUAAAUGUUAUUAAUUUGGUUCUGGUUACUAAUAAGUUGUUUAAGAUCACAUGAAUAUUUUGAAGUUCGAUCUAAUUGAAUUUGUUAUUUUAUGGAUUUAGAAAACUAUUGAAUUGUAAAAUAAAGUACUUUACUUCUAACUCGAGCUCAAAUUGUUUAGCAAUUGAGUUAGUACUUGAAUCUAGAGCUGAUUCUAAACAACAUUUUUACGAAAAGUGAAAAUUGAGUUGAAUGAAACAAUGUAGUAUACUAGUAUAGUACUAGUGACUAGAAUAGUAAUGAAUCACAAUACAUUAGGAUACACGAUUACCACUAAAUACGAAUAUUUAUAAUUUUAAAACUUGAAUAAUAUAAUGAUAGUCUCACCGAUUCCAUCUCCGAACCAUAAUCACCACUACGACCUGUACAAAUGGUGGAAUUAUUUUGACGACAUAAUGUGGGACCUUCUUCCUCACACCGACAAAAAACCAAACAGAUCAUUCCAGACGGAAGUGACCGUUGUUUCAGCCACGCGUCACGUUUCCAAUGGCUACAGCCUAACGGCUAUCCC
rnacentral:lncRNA from 1 species